CUCGGCACGGAACGGCCCCGCUCCGCCCCGUCGGGGGCCGGGCUCGAACCCGCGGCCCUGAGGGCGGGGAUGGGGGGGGCCGGGGGGGGAGCAGGGGCGGGCAGGGGCCGAGCUAUGGGGGGGGCAGGCGCUGGGUGUGUGUGCGGAUGGGCCGUGGCUGCCGAUAGCUGCGCCAAUCUCUGCGGUUCUUAAAAAUAGAUAUUCCUAUAUCCAUGUAUACCUCCUUAUAUCCCUGUAUAUGUCCGUGUAUACACCCCUAUAUCCUUGUAUAUAUCCCUAUAUUCGUGUAUAUAUCCGAUUAUACAUCCUAUAUCCUUGUAUAUACCCAUAUACGCGUAUACACACCCAUAUAUAUCUCUUCAGCCUUGUAUAUAUCCUUACAUAUCCCUAUAUCCUUGUAUAUAUCCCUAUAUUUGCGUAUACAUCCCUAUAUCUAUCUCUUUAUCCUUGCAUAUACCUUUAUACAUCCCUAUAUUUGUGCAUACAUCCCUAUAUCCACAUAUGUAUCCUUAUACCCUUGUAUAUAUCCCUACAUCUGUGUAUAUAUCCCUUUGUGUAUACAUCCCUAUAUCCCUAUGUAUAUCCCUAUCCCAAUGCCUAUAUUUUGCUAAUAUAUAGAUAGACUGACACGUAUAUACACCCUUCAGUCUCUGUUACGUGCGUUUGAUGCCUAUACAGCACCAAAGCACGCUUUGUACAGGUGUGCGGUUACGUACGCAUAUACACGCCGACGUCUCUGCCAUACCUCCGUACGGUAACGCCCACCUCUGCCUCUCAUACUUGUGCAAAUAUACACCGACGUGUGUACACAAGCCGACGUGUCACGAGCGCGUACGGGUGAGGAGGUGCGUGCAGCCACGUAUAGGUGUGACGGGGGCUCGCGCACCCACCGUGCUCGUGGCUGAGCCGUGUCGGGUGGCAGCUGAGCCGGGUGCGAGCCCCCUGGGCCAAACGGGGUGCCGGAGGUGCCCGGUGCCUCCUGGUUGUGUCGCCGCACGCCCAGGGCUGAUGGCCGGGAAGGAGCCGCUGCUGAGCGCCCUCAGAGGUGAGCGUGGCCCCCGGGGUUCCUCGGGGUGGGGUCUGGGCAGGGGGUGCUGCGUUUGGCCCUGCCGCAGCAUGACUUGGUGUUUGCGUUGGCGCUGGCCGUGCCCAUGCCUUGUUACAGGGAAGUUUUCCAGUUUCUGCCUGCUACCGGGGUGGGUCUCACCCUCCUCACACACCGGGCACCUCCCACGGCACGCACCCAGGGCCACUUGUUCCCCAGCAGCACCCAAGGGUGCUGAUCCUCCCCCCCUGCAGGUGAGGUGCUGCGGCUGCGGGAGGACGGGGGGCCCUGCACGGACACCUCACCUCACCUCGCUGCCGUCUGCCAGCUGCUGGAGAGCGUCCUGCGCAAGGGGCUCCGACAGCCGGUGUGGGGCUUCCGGAGACGGGAUUAUUGGCACUGCCUGGAGCAGCUUCCCCAGGGGGACGGCGGCAGGUGAGCGGCGAUGGGGUCGAACCGCAGCCAUGCGCCGCGCUCGCCCCAAAACCCCCAGCUGCAGCGAGGAUGCUCCCCGAGGGCUAAGCCCCAAACCUCUUUCCCCUCUCUCCGAGCAGGCCGAAUCCUCUCUCCCUCAGCAUCCAAAGAGCCGCGACCUGCUCCAAGGCGCUGACAGCGCAGGGCCGUGGCCGCUGCUUCCUGCGCUCGGCGCUGCAGGGGAAGGUGCUGGCGGCGGCCCUGCGGCAGCUGGCGCGCAGCCCCCGGCUCCUGGAGUUCUACGACCCAGCGAGCUCCAUCCUCGGCAAUGA
ensembl:lncRNA